UUGUCGCAGCAAAUAGUUUGGCUGGAAUUAUUCUAUUGCGUCGCUGUUUAACUUGUUACGGCUACAAUAGAUUGUCACUAAACAAAUUCCGUAAAUUGACACUAUCUGCAGCGGUCAUGAUUUCAGUCUUGUAUCUCCGUCUCUCUUUCUCGCAAGAGUCACGCUGGGGCCGCUGCUGCCCCUUCCCACGCUUUGCCAGCUGCCACACUGGUGCUGUCUCGCCUUGCCGAUGAGCACCUCUCUCUCUCUCUCUCUCUCUCUCUCUCUUCCUCUCUCUAUUUCAUCCUUAUCUUUCUCUCCGUCCAUUUUUCUCACUCUCCCUCUCUCUUGGCUGUGCUAGUGUUCUUUGGCAAUUCCAGACCAUUUCGCCCUUCCCUAAUCGGACUCUCGAUAUGGCGGCCAUCAUGCGGUUCCAGGAUUAAUGAGAAUACUGGUGCCACUCCAACUGAAUGAUGAUUGACCCAUAUACACUCCUAUCUCUUUACUAGUCGAAAGUAUAGUCAUGGAAAUGUUCAAAUUAUAUCUUUUUCGUUCUCCUUAUGUGUUUUCGUUCAUAGGUUUGACAUUUGGCCUCUAAAGGGAUAUUGUAAAUUCGGAUUCAGACUAGCAUCAUUUUAUUUUUCAUACUAAUUAAUUUACGGCCAAUACUUUAAUUUCAUGUUAA